rnacentral:rRNA from 1 species
UACGAAGGGGGCUAGCGUUGUUCGGAAUUACUGGGCGUAAAGGGCGCGUAGGCGGUGCGGUAAGUCUGUAGUGAAAUCUCUGGGCUCAACUCAGAGUCUGCUGCAGAAACUGCCGUGCUUGAGUGUGGGAGAGGUGAGUGGAAUUCCCGGUGUAGCGGUGAAAUGCGUAGAUAUCAGGAGGAACACCGGUGGUGUAAACGGCUUUCUGGACCAUAACUGACGCUGAGGCACGAAAGCGUGGGUAGCAAACAGG